AUAAUUUGAAGUGUGUUAUGAGAUGUACUUUAGCAUGUUACAUAAGAAUUGAAUUGAUUAUGUUUUUUUCUUUCCUUUUUUUUGAGACAGAGUCUUGCUCUGUCUCCCAGGCUGGAGUACAGUGGUGCAAUCUCUGCUCACUGCAACCUCUGUCUCCCAGGUUCAAGAGAUUCUUCUGCCUCAGCCUCCAAGUAGCUGGGAUUACAGAUACACACUACACCCGGCUAAUUUUUUGUAUUUUUAAUAGAGAUGGGGUUUCACCAUGUUGGGCAGACUGGUCUCAAACUCCUGACCUCAAGUGAUCCACCCACCUCGGCCUCCCAAAGUGCUGGGAUUACAGUGGUGAGCCACUGCACCCGGUCCAAUUAUACCUUUUUUGAAAACAAUUAUCAAAACCAAAACUACUACUGUUGUAUUACCUAUUGAGGGGAAUUGCUAUAAAGUCAUUUGGAUGUUUUUUUUACAGUCAUAUCAGAAUUCAUGGAAUAAUCUUCAGAGAAGCAAUAGAUAACACCAAAGGCAGUCCUAAAAAAGCAAAGGCACAGGAAUGUUGCCUUGAAUGAGGCAGGAGUCUAAAGAGGAAACAAGGAACAGCCCCAUCCAAUAUUCAAUGGACCUAUUUAUUCUCCAUCUGCAACAUUCAGAUAACAUGCUCAUCAACAUGACUGCAGCUCACAAUUUUCUGAAUUUUACAGCCACUUCUCUCAGCCUCACUGUGAGUCUAGUGAACUAUGUACCAACGUAUGCAAUAAAUGCUCAAAAAUAUUUGCUAGAUAUCCCUGUUUUGUGCUGGUCAAUUAGAAGAAGAACAAAAUCAGAAGCUGCUAGCCACUCUGCUUUUUUAGGGAAGUAAAAAUCUCUCCAUAAAAAUUACUGAAAUGCCAUAGACAGAACUGUAUGUGGGUAUUAAUAAAGUCUCUGAAACAUUAGAGACGUCUCCUAGGCUGACGUCCAAACUUACUAGGAAGACUGUCC
rnacentral:lncRNA from 1 species